rnacentral:rRNA from 1 species
GACGAACGCUGGCGGCGUGCUUAACACAUGCAAGUCGAACGGUGAAGCGCCUUCCUUUUUGGUGGGUGUGGAUGAGUGGCGAACGGGUGAGUAACACUUGAGUAACCUGCCCCCUUCUUCUGGAUAACCGCAUGAAAGUGUGGCUAAUACGGGAUAUUCUGGGUCUGUCGCAUGAUGGGUCUGGGAAAGAUAUUGUUUCGGUGGGGGAUGGGCUCGCGGCCUAUCAGCUUGUUGGGGGGGUGAUGGCCUACCAAGGCGGUGACGGGUAGCCGGCCUGAGAGGGUGGACGGUCACACUGGGACUGAGACACGGCCGAGACUGCUACGGGAGGCAGAAGUGGGGAAUAUUGCACAAUGGGCGAAAGCGUGAUGCAGCGACGCCGCGUGAGGGAUGGAGGCCUUCGGGUUGUGAACCUCUUUCGCCAGUGAAGCAGGCCUGCCUCGUUUGUGGGUGGGUUGACGGUAGCUGGAUAAGAAGCGCCGGCUAACUACGUG